AUAUAUGAUUAUUUACACGAGAUAAACUCUAUCAUCUACAACUAUUUCAGAAAAGAUGGGGAAGGAAACUACCCACCCUUCUGGUGCAAGAAGGAUUUCCCUUGUCCAGACAGUUAAAGGAACCCAUCGAAAAUGAGUCUUCGACUUUGAUCAAAGAAAGAGAUGAAAACUGAAACUUGAGAAAACUAGAGAAACUUCUUUCUCUAAACAAAUAAAAAGAUUAAAAAUAGAG
rnacentral:misc_RNA from 1 species